AUUGAACGCUGGCGGCAGGCUUAACACAUGCAAGUCGAACGAGUGGCGGACGGGUGAGUAAUGCUUGGGAAUCUAGCUUAUGGAGGGGGAUAACUACGGGAAACUGUAGCUAAUACCGCAUACUAUCGGAUGAACCCAUAUGGGAUUAGCUAGUAGGUGGGGUAAAGGCUCACCUAGGCGACGAUCUCUAGCUGGUCUGAGAGGAUGAUCAGCCACACUGGGACUGAGACACGGCCCAGACUCCUACGGGAGGCAGCAGUGGGGAAUAUUGCACAAUGGGCGCAAGCCUGAUGCAGCCAUGCCGCGUGUAUGAAGAAGGCCUUAGGGUUGUAAAGUACUUUCAGCGGGGAGGCGUUACCCGCAGAAGAAGCACCGGCUAACUCCGUGCCAGCAGCCGCGGUAAUAC
rnacentral:rRNA from 1 species